ACAGAGAAAUCAAAUAUGGGUUGAGCGGGAAGUGAGUGAGGGUUUUGGUGGGAAUAUGGAUUUUGGAUGUUCAGAAGUGAAGGUGUGGAAGGAAGCACUCGCUGCAUACCAAUCUCGAAUUCAAACGCUCUCUCUCACAAAAAACAAACCCAAUUUGAUUUCUCUCGAUGAAUUCUACUGCAACCAGCUACCUUCCAUCCUUCGCCAACGAAACCCUAACCCCUUUCUCACAACUUCAGAACUCUCCAGUCUCAUGCAAUGGAAGCUCACGCGCGGCAAGUGGAGGCCGCGUCUGUUGGAUUUCGUUUCGUCCCUAGACGACGCCGUUGUGAAAUCCGCUUCUGAGAAGGCAUUUCAGAGCCUUCCCGAUGUUUCGGAAGCCGUCGCUGAACUCACUGUAUUGAAAGGCGUUGGUCCCGCCACCGCCUCUGCCGUUUUGGCUGCUUUCUCUCCGCACUUAACCCCUUUCAUGUCUGACGAGGCUAUGGAGGCAGCUCUUGGAAACUCAAAAGAUUAUUCUCUGAAGCAAUAUCUAAAGUUUGUAGAUAAGUUGCAGAUGAAAGCGAAGGAACUAAGUUCAGAAAGUGACUCCUUUACCCCAUCUGAUGUAGAAAGGGCGUUGUGGAGUUAUGCUGCGGGGAAAUCAUCAUCAACGCAAUCAAAUCAGGACCCUAAGACCAAACCAAUCAAGAGCUCUAAAAGGAAGAGAAAAAAUUGACAUUAGUAGCAGAGCAACAAUGAAUUUACAAUUUUGGCGAAGCCCCAAAGCCCACCACAUUCACCUACUUUCCUGGAAACAUGACAUUGAAGGCGGCUUUGACAUGUUCUCUGGCUCUGUGGUCAACCUCUUCCCCUCCGCCAUUGGUGCUGGCAUCAAGCAACUGGUGCUGGUAUGCUUGUGCUGUACACAGGCGUUUGGUGGCCUUGGUUGGAAUGUAUUGUCGCUUUGCUUCAUCAUAAACAAUGUUGCAAUGCUGGUCGUGUAAAUGGUUAUCAUAGGUGAUGUGUUCUGAAGAUCAUGUUCAUGAGUGCACAAUUCAAGGGUUUUGGAAGAAUGAUUUGAUCAAUGCUGGUGCCUCUUUUAUCGUUCAGGUGUUUGAUUUAUACUAUAAUGAAUUCGAAGAUCCUUCCCAAAUGAAGGCCAUAGUCCGGACCAUUACUGUGCUCAUCUGUGCACAUAGUAACCACCUUAUUUGGUUUUUUCUUAUGUGGGGACAGAACAUUGGGUGAUAUCUUGGAGUACCUUAUGGUUCUUUUCUUACUGAUAUAAUUUGAGUGAGCUAUGACAUUAACCUUAUUCUUGUGUUUCCAAUUGUGUUUUUGUCCUUUGACCUCAAACCUAGGUGGUCUUCGUUUCCACAUGCCAUUCCUCUUGUCUAUGACACCAAGAGAUUCUAUUUUGUAAGCACAGUUCUCAUGGCUUGCAUUUUUGUUGAAGCCAAUUUUGUUUCCAGCAUCUGGGAUGCCUUCCAGUUUCAUAGGGGCCACAGCUGCUAUUUCUGCUGGAACAUUUUUCCAGCUGCUAUUGCUUAGGUAUAUGUAUGCAUGGAAAAGUUCUUCAAUAUACAUGAGAAAAAGAUAACAACUAUAAAUGCA